AGAGUUUGAUCCUGGCUCAGAUUGAACGCUGGCGGUAGGCUUAACACAUGCAAGUCGUGCGAGAAAGUACCUUCGGGUGCGAGUAGAGCGGCGGACGGGUGAGUAACGCGUAGGAAUCUACCUAGUAGAAGGGGAUAGCCCGGGGAAACUCGGAUUAAUACCGUAUACCUCCUUAGGGAGAAAGAGGGCUUAGCUUUGAUGCUCUCGCUAUUAGAUGAGCCUGCGUAAGAUUAGCUUGUUGGUGAGGUAAUGGCUCACCAAGGCGACGAUCUUUAGCUGGUCUGAGAGGACGAUCAGCCACAUUGGGACUGAGACACGGCCCAGACUCCUACGGGAGGCAGCAGUGGGGAAUAUUGGACAAUGGGCGCAAGCCUGAUCCAGCCAUACCGCGUGUGUGAAGAAGGCUUUCGGGUUGUAAAGCACUUUAAGUAAGGAGGAAAAGAUUGUAGUUAAUACCUGCAAUCCGUGACGUUACUUACAGAAUAAGGACCGGCUAAUUCCGUGCCAGCAGCCGCGGUAAUACGGAAGGUCCAAGCGUUAAUCGGAAUUACUGGGCGUAAAGCGCGCGUAGGUGGUUUUUUAAGUUGGAUGUGAAAGCCCUGGGCUCAACCUAGGAACUGCAUCCAAAACUAGAUGACUAGAGUACGAAAGAGGGAAGUAGAAUUCACAGUGUAGCGGUGGAAUGCGUAGAUAUUGUGAAGAAUACCAAUGGCGAAGGCAGCUUCCUGGUUCUGUACUGACGCUGAGGAACGAAAGCAUGGGUAGCGAAGAGGAUUAGAUACCCUCGUAGUCCAUGCCGUAAACGAUGUGUGUUAGAUGUUGGAAAUUAAUUUUCAGUAUCGCAGCGAAAGCGUUAAACACACCGCCUGGGGAGUACGACCGCAAGGUUAAAACUCAAAUGAAUUGACGGGGACCCGCACAAGUAGUGGAGCAUGUGGUUUAAUUCGAAGAUACGCGCAGAACCUUACCAACACUUGACAUGUUUGUCGCGACUUCAAGAGAUUGAAGUCUUCGGUUCGGCCGGACAAAACACAGGUGCUGCAUGGCUGUCGUCAGCUCGUGUCGUGAGAUGUUGGGUUAAGUCCCGCAACGAGCGCAACCCUCACUUUUAGUUGCCAUCAUUUAGUUGGGCACUCUGAAAGAACUGCCAGUGAUAAGCUGGAGGAAGGUGGGGAUGACGUCAAGUCCUCAUGGCCCUUACGUGUUGGGCUACACACGUGCUACAAUGGCAUUUACAAUAGGAUGCAAAAUGGCGACAUUAAGCAAAUCCUAAAAAGAUGCCUCAGUUCGGAUUGUACUCUGCAACUCGAGUACAUGAAGCUGGAAUUACUAGUAAUCGCGGAUCAGCGCGCCGCGGUGAAUACGUUCCCGGGUCUUGUACACACCGCCCGUCACACCAUGGGAGUUGGUUCUACCUUAAGGCAAAGUUUAAAACCUUUGACCACGGUAUAGUCAGCGACUGGGGUGAAGUCGUAACAAGGUAACCGUA
rnacentral:rRNA from 1 species